ensembl:lncRNA
CUGAAUACUUUGGAAUACUUAAUAUGUUAUCAUGCACACAGCUACUAUUGCUGUGUGGUUUAUUACUAUUAUUGAAGGUUACUCACCAUACCAAUAUGAACUCGAUUUUUAAAUCUUAAUAUAAAAUGAGUAACAGUAGGGUGGACAUUAGGUAAGGCUGCACUUUUUGCAGUGAUCUCUUAUAGAAAACUAUUCCGCGCGUAUAUAAAACAGGUCUGCGGCUCCGAACCAUAGUAAAGGGACCUCUGGUACGGUGUACAUUUUAGGACAUCGUCAGGUCUCAAGAAAAAAGUUGUCAGGUAUCAGACAAAAAAAUUGUCAGGUCUCAGUUCUCAAGAAAAAAAGUUGUCAGGUAUCAGACAAAAAAUUGUCAGGUCUCAGUUCUCAAGAAAAAAGUUGUCAGGUAUCAGAAAAAAAAUUGUCAGGUCUCAGUUCUCAAAAAAAAAAAUUGUCAGGUAUCAGACAAAAAAUUGUCAGGUCUCAGUUCUCAAGAAAAAAGUUGUCAGGUAUCAGAACACAAGGUACCAUACAGAGAGAAAAUCUUCUUGCAGGUGGCGGUGUUGUCAUGUCCCACCCAAUGACUGUAUAAAAGCUGGACGACACGACAGCUCCCCAAAAAUGAAGCCAAAACGUCUCUAUCGCCCCCUGGUGUCUGGCUGCAGUAUAUACGUCAUAAACCCCGCCUCCCCCACGUUAGCGGAUGGGACUGGGGUCAGACUAAAAUAAAUUUAUUCUCCUCAGAUAAUUUUUUUCCAAAGAUUCUUUCUUUUGUUAUCAAUAGUUCUCAUCACGCUUAUUGAUGUUCAAGGGGUCUCCUCUCCCAUAAGUUUGAUUCUAAUUCCUACCGCGGUGAUGUUAAAUUGGGGUGAAACGUCAUCAUAACAGCUUUGACUGGCAGCUGCAGUCACGGAGAAACUUGCGUAUCUCUGUUCGGGAAUAGCAGAUAGAGCGUAGGCUCUGAGAGGAGGGCCAGCGUUUACGCUACGAAAACACGACCGAGUGUUUUAACCUGACAGCCUGAGGUGUUCUUCAGUAAACUGGACUCCCCGACAGAAGGACCCGAGGCCCUGCUGCACUUUUUCGGUAAGUUAAACGUGUUUGUCAGCUAAUCCGUAACUACCGUCCUUAGCUCGGUCCUGAGACCUAGCUAGCUAAGAUGAGGACUCUGCUGUCAGGGUUCGUUUAGCUAAUCUGUGCAGGUGAAUGAAUUUACACCGACUAAAGAAAUCAAGAGAAACGCUCCGGGCUACUCAGUCACUAAUUACUGUUACUGUACUUUUAUUACAAGUAUUAUACUGUAAAAGCAACAGGCUGCAUCCUGCUUCAGCUCCUGUGCAGAGCUGAUUAUUAAAUAUUGAAAACAUGCUGUUGUUUGCACGUCUCUUGCCACAUCUGUAAAGACAACUUUAAAAAAAAAAAAAGCUUGUACCUUGUAGCUCUUCAUUAAUCAGGAACUAUGGAUUAAAGUACUGUAGUGUACUGUAAUACUGAAAAAAAUGUAAGAGAACAACUUCAGAUCUUGAGUGUGUGAGGACAGAAGAAUCAGCUUUGUUUCAAUUUUGAGGGAUAAAAUUUAUAUCUGAGUUUGAUGGUUCUGUUCUCUUUGUGAUUACAGGAGCUGCCCUCAGAUUCAGACCUCAGCACCACCCAGUGACAGCAGACAGAUCAUCCAACAUGUUCACAUGUUAACUGCAAAAUGAUCUGAUGAAAAC